rnacentral:lncRNA from 1 species
GUAUCAAUGGAUGAAUCGGCAACAUGGCAUGCAAGGCUAGGUCAUAUUGGCUUUGAGUCUAUGAAGACAAUGAUAAAGAAUGAAUUGGUUCUUGGAAUGCCAAACAUAAAGGUUGAAAGAGACACUUGUGCCUCAUGCUUACUUGGGAAACAAGUCAGGAAUGUUUUCCCAAAAGCAACAUCAUUUCGUGCUUCAAGUUUGCUAGAACUUAUUCAUGGGGAUCUAUGCGGACCAAUCUCACCACCAACACCAGCAAGGAAUAGGUAUAUAUUCGUACUAAUUGAUGAUCACUCUCGCUAUAUGUGGUCAGUCCUAUUGAAAGAAAAAGGAGAAGCAUUUGAUAAGUUUAAAAACUUUAAAAGGAUUGUCGAGCAAGAAACAGGACAACUCAUCAAAACAUUCCGGACUGAUAGAGGAGGAGAGUUUACCUCUCAAGAGUUUCAAAGUUUCUGUGAGAGUAACGGCAUACAACGACACCUAACCGCUCCAUACUCACCACAGCAAAACGGAGUCGUUGAAAGAAGGAAUCGAACUCUUAUGGAGAUGACUCGGAGCAUUCUAAAGUACAUGGGUUUGCCUAAUUACCUUUGGGGAGAAGCAGUGAGACAUGCUACCUAUGUCAUAAACAGAGUAGCAACAAGAGUUCUGAAGACACAAACUCCAUAUGAGGUUUACAAAGGAAGGAAACCUAGUGUUGAGCACCUUCGUGUGUUUGGAUGUCUCGGAUAUGCAAAGGUGGAAGCUCCGCACUUGAAAAAGUUAGAUGAUCGCUCAAGAAUGUUGGUAAACCUCGGAACAGAACCAGGGUCAAAAGCGUAUCGAUUACUNNNNNNNNNNNNNNNNNNNNNNNNNNNNNNNNNNNNNNNNNNUUUUCGACGAGAGUAAAAGCUGGAGGUGGAACAACCUCGAGAGAAAUUCUGAACCCGGACCAGGGAUGUUCACAGUUAGUUUUGGAGAAUAUGGGAAUAAUGGAAUAAGAGAAGAUCCUAUGGUGAAUGAAAACGAAGAAAGAAGAGACGAGGAGGCUCUAAGUGACAGCUCUGGUAAUGACAAUCAGGUUUUGUGCGAUGACCAAAGGGCGGAGAACGAUGAGGAAGGAGAAGAAGAGAAUCAAGAUCGACCUAUUCCUCUUAGAAGGUCAACCCGACAAGUUACAACACCAAAGUACUUGGAAGAUUAUGUUCUGUUGGCUGCGAUCGAAUGUGAGAAGUUGUUACUAGCCAUGAACGAGGAGCCAUGGAAUUAUGACGAGGCAAAAGAAUUGGAAGAAUGGAGAGUUGCUUGUCAAGACGAAAUCAAUUCCAUCAAUAAAAACAGAACAUGGGAACUAGUUGAUCUUCCACAAGGUGCUAAGGCAAUUGGAUUGAAGUGGGUGUUUAAAAUCAAAAGAAAUUCAGAUGGAAGCUUAAACAAGUAUAAGGCAAGGCUUGUAGCUAAAGGUUACAUACAAAAGCAUGGUGUGGACUUCGACGAGGUGUUUGCUCCGGUGGCUCGAAUUGAAACAAUUCGACUUAUAAUUGCUUUGGCAGCUUCUAACUCUUGGGAGGUACAUCAUCUGGAUGUAAAGACAGCCUUCCUACAUGGUGAAUUAAAGGAAGUAGUGUUUGUCUCACAACCAGAAGGUUUUGUGGUGCAAGGAAGCGAAAGCAAGGUUUAUAAGCUUAAUAAGGCACUUUACGGUUUAAGACAAGCCCCAAGAGCUUGGAAUGACAAACUUAAUGCGAUUCUUAAAGAGCUAAAGUUUGAAAGAUGUUCAAAGGAACCCUCACUAUAUCGAAAGCAAGAGAAGGAGCAUCUACUAGUUGUUGCAGUCUAUGUCGAUGAUCUACUUGUCACGGGAUCUAGCUUAAGUUUGAUACUUGAUUUUAAAAGGGGAAUGGCGUCAAAGUUUGAAAUGAGCGACCUCGGACGGUUAACAUAUUACCUCGGAAUAGAAGUUCUACAAUAUGAUGGUGGUAUCAUGUUAAAGCAAGAAAGAUAUGCUGAAAAGAUUCUUGAAGAAACGGGAAUGAAGGAAUGUAACUCGGUCCUCAUACCAAUGGAAGCUGGACUUGAAUUCUCUAAAUCACAAGAAGAAGAACGUAUUGAUGAGACAGAAUAUCGAAGGAACAUUGGGUGUCUCCGUUNNNNNNNNNNNNNNNNNNNNNNNNNNNNNNNNNNNNNNNNNNNNNUAAGUAGGUACAUGCAUGAACCAAGGCGAUCACACGGAGCUGCAAUGAAAGCAGUGCUUAGGUAUUUACGUGGAACUUCUUCGUAUGGUUUGAAUUUUAAUCAAGGAAACAAGACUGGUUUGUUGGGAUAUAGUGAUAGCUCACACAAUGUGGAUAAAGAUGAUGGAAGAAGCACAGCUGGUCACAUCUUCUACCUUAACAACCUUCCAAUUACAUGGUGUACUCACAAACAAAACACAGUGGCAAUGUCUUCAUGUGAGGCUGAGUUUAUGGCGGGAACGGAAGCUGCAAAACAAGCCUUAUGGCUUCAAGACUUACUUGGAGAGAUCGUUGGUUCAUCUAGUGAAAAGGUCACAAUUCUCAUGGACAACAAGUCGGCACUAGCACUCACCAAGAAUCCAGUUUUCC